UGAUCCUGGCUCAGGAUGAACGCUGGCGGCGUGCUUAACACAUGCAAGUCGAACGGUGAUAGCAAUAUCACAGUGGCGCACGGGUGAGUAACACGUAGCUAACCUGCCCUCAAGUGGGGGAUAACGCCCCGAAAGGGGUGCUAAUACCGCAUAAGCUCACGGUCUGUAGAGGGCUGUGAGAAAAGAUUUAUCGCUUGAGGAGGGGGCUGCGGCGCAUCAGGUAGUUGGUGGGGUAACGGCCUACCAAGCCAACGACGCGUAGGGGGUCUGAGAGGAUGGUCCCCCACACUGGGACUGAGACACGGCCCAGACUCCUACGGGAGGCAGCAGUGAGGAAUAUUGGUCAAUGGGGGCAACCCUGAACCAGCGACGCCGCGUGGGCGACGAAGGUCUUCGGAUCGUAAAGCCCUUUUCUAGGUGACGAGCAAGGACGGUAGCCUAGGAAUAAGCCUCGGCUAACUACGUGCCAGCAGCCGCGGUAAAACGUAGGAGGCGAGCGUUAUCCGGAGUUACUGGGCGUAAAGCGUCUGUAGGCGGUUGGACAAGUUGCGUGUGAAAGCGCCCGGCUAAACUGGGCGAGGACACGUAAGACUGUUCGGCUAGAGGGUGGUAGAGGGGUGCAGAAUUCCGGGUGUAGCGGUGAAAUGUGUAGAGAUCCGGAGGAAUACCAGUGGCGCAAGCGGCACCCUGGGCCAUACCUGACGCUGAGAGACGAAAGCGUGGGGGAGCGAACGGGAUUAGAGACCCCGGUAGUCCACGCCGUAAACGAUGAAUGCUUGGUGUCUGGGGUUAUAUAGUCCCCGGGUGCCGUCGCUAACGCUUUAAGCAUUCCGCCUGGGGAGUACGGUCGCAAGACUGAA
rnacentral:rRNA from 1 species